UGGGGAAUAUUGCGCAAUGGGGGAAACCCUGACGCAGCAACGCCGCGUGCGGGAUGAAGGCUUUCGGGUUGUAAACCGCUUUCAGCAGGGAAGAUAAUGACGGUACCUGCAGAAGAAGCCCCGGCUAACUACGUGCCAGCAGCCGCGGUAAUACGUAGGGGGCAAGCGUUAUCCGGAUUCAUUGGGCGUAAAGCGCGCGCAGGCGGGCCGCUAAGCGGGACCUCUAAUCUUGGGGCUCAACCUCAAGCCGGGUCCCGAACUGGCAGCCUCGAGUGCGGUAGGGGUAAGCGGAAUUCCCGGUGUAGCGGUGGAAUGCGCAGAUAUCGGGAAGAACACCGAUGGCGAAGGCAGCUUACUGGGCCGACACUGACGCUGAGGCGCGAAAGCUAGGGGAGCGAACAGG
rnacentral:rRNA from 1 species